rnacentral:rRNA from 1 species
AUUGAACGCUGGCGGCAUGCCUUACACAUGCAAGUCGAACGGCAGCACGGGUGCUUGCACCUGGUGGCGAGUGGCGAACGGGUGAGUAAUACAUCGGAACAUGUCCUGUAGUGGGGAUAGCCCGGCGAAAGCCGGAUUAAUACCGCAUACGAUCUACGGAUGAAAGCGGGGGACCUUUGGGCCUCGCGCUAUAGGGUUGGCCGAUGGCUGAUUAGCUAGUUGGUGGGGUAAAGGCCUACCAAGGCGACGAUCAGUAGCUGGUCUGAGAGGACGACCAGCCACACUGGGACUGAGACACGGCCCAGACUCCUACGGGAGGCAGCAGUGGGGAAUUUUGGACAAUGGGCGAAAGCCUGAUCCAGCAAUGCCGCGUGUGUGAAGAAGGCCUUCGGGUUGUAAAGCACUUUUGUCCGGAAAGAAAUCCUUGGCCCUAAUACGGUCGGGGGAUGACGGUACCGGAAGAAUAAGCACCGGCUAACUACGUG